GAUGAACGCUGGCGGCGUGCUUAACACAUGCAAGUCGAACGGAAAGGCUCCUGCUUGCAGGGGUACUCGAGUGGCGAACGGGUGAGUAACACGUGGGUGAUCUGCCCUGCACUUCGGGAUAAGCCUGGGAAACUGGGUCUAAUACCGGAUAGGACGAUGGUUUGGAUGCCAUUGUGGAAAGUUUUUUCGGUGUGGGAUGAGCUCGCGGCCUAUCAGCUUGUUGGUGGGGUAAUGGCCUACCAAGGCGUCGACGGGUAGCCGGCCUGAGAGGGUGUACGGCCACAUUGGGACUGAGAUACGGCCCAGACUCCUACGGGAGGGAGCAGUGGGGAAUAUUGCACAAUGGGCGCAAGCCUGAUGCAGCGACGCCGCGUGGGGGAUGACGGCCUUCGGGUUGUAAACUCCUUUCGCUAGGGACGAAGCGCAAGUGACGGUACCUGGAGAAGAAGCACCGGCUAACUACGUG
rnacentral:rRNA from 1 species